GAUGAACGCUGGCGGCGUGCCUAAUACAUGCAAGUCGAGCGAACGGACGAGAAGCUUGCUUCUCUGAUGUUAGCGGCGGACGGGUGAGUAACACGUGGAUAACCUACCUAUAAGACUGGGAUAACUUCGGGAAACCGGAGCUAAUACCGGAUAAUAUUUUGAACCGCAUGGUUCAAAAGUGAAAGACGGUCUUGCUGUCACUUAUAGAUGGAUCCGCGCUGCAUUAGCUAGUUGGUAAGGUAACGGCUUACCAAGGCAACGAUGCAUAGCCGACCUGAGAGGGUGAUCGGCCACACUGGAACUGAGACACGGUCCAGACUCCUACGGGAGGCAGCAGUAGGGAAUCUUCCGCAAUGGGCGAAAGCCUGACGGAGCAACGCCGCGUGAGUGAUGAAGGUCUUCGGAUCGUAAAACUCUGUUAUUAGGGAAGAACAUAUGUGUAAGUAACUGUGCACAUCUUGACGGUACCUAAUCAGAAAGCCACGGCUAACUACGUGCCAGCAGCCGCGGUAAUACGUAGGUGGCAAGCGUUAUCCGGAAUUAUUGGGCGUAAAGCGCGCGUAGGCGGUUUUUUAAGUCUGAUGUGAAAGCCCACGGCUCAACCGUGGAGGGUCAUUGGAAACUGGAAAACUUGAGUGCAGAAGAGGAAAGUGGAAUUCCAUGUGUAGCGGUGAAAUGCGCAGAGAUAUGGAGGAACACCAGUGGCGAAGGCGACUUUCUGGUCUGUAACUGACGCUGAUGUGCGAAAGCGUGGGGAUCAAACAGGAUUAGAUACCCUGGUAGUCCACGCCGUAAACGAUGAGUGCUAAGUGUUAGGGGGUUUCCGCCCCUUAGUGCUGCAGCUAACGCACUAAGCACUCCGCCUGGGGAGUACGACCGCAAGGUUGAAACUCAAAGGAAUUGACGGGGACCCGCACAAGCGGUGGAGCAUGUGGUUUAAUUCGAAGCAACGCGAAGAACCUUACCAAAUCUUGACAUCCUUUGACAACUCUAGAGAUAGAGCCUUCCCCUUCGGGGGACAAAGUGACAGGUGGUGCAUGGUUGUCGUCAGCUCGUGUCGUGAGAUGUUGGGUUAAGUCCCGCAACGAGCGCAACCCUUAAGCUUAGUUGCCAUCAUUAAGUUGGGCACUCUAAGUUGACUGCCGGUGACAAACCGGAGGAAGGUGGGGAUGACGUCAAAUCAUCAUGCCCCUUAUGAUUUGGGCUACACACGUGCUACAAUGGACAAUACAAAGGGCAGCGAAACCGCGAGGUCAAGCAAAUCCCAUAAAGUUGUUCUCAGUUCGGAUUGUAGUCUGCAACUCGACUACAUGAAGCUGGAAUCGCUAGUAAUCGUAGAUCAGCAUGCUACGGUGAAUACGUUCCCGGGUCU
rnacentral:rRNA from 1 species